AGGGUAGAAUGUAUCUCUUGCCGCGUCCCUAAAUGUAGCUCCUUGUUGGACUUGAGCGGAGCGUGUGGCUAGUCGGGGGCGCACUGAGGGUUUUUAUGUACUUAAAAGGACCAACACAGCUCCCUGACUUGAGCGAGAUCUAGCCAUUUUCUCCCGAUUCUCCGACCCCUGAGCCGUGCGGGCUGCUGGAUAGAGUUCUUUUCUAAAUGAGUUUCUAAAUUUACCAGCAGUGUCCCGGAAGAGGCCAACACAUGCAUAUUCAGCACCAAAUAAGACUGGCACGCGUUUUUUUUUUUUUUUUUUUUUUUUUUUUUUUAACAAACGGCUUUGCUCUUUGAAGGGUGGGCGGGAACGUGCUGUUUUUAGAAAAAUGUCAAGGAACUUCUCUGAAUCACAUUAAGCAUGCUAAUUACCAAAUAUUAAAUGCUAAUUGCUCUACACGCAUAGUUCUUCGCAUGCCAGGGAAGGGAGAUGAAACUGGUAUAAGCUACUGGGGACAUGACAGGGAUGUUUUUUGACUGAUGUUCUGCAACCUCCACUUGGAGAUGGGAAGCGUGUUCUCUGUAACCUCAGACGAACACACUAGACUUUAUCAGUUAGUGCAAGCCUCAAGGCUUGCAGCAACAAUGUGUCUUGGUUGACUUUAAGCUCCUUUUCCAGGGAAGGUGAGCCAAGACAAUAAAAGAAUUGCUAGGAAAUGUCUCAUAGGGAGCUGCUUGGGGAACGAGGUCAUUCAGCUCUGUACCAGAACCCUGGGCUUUUAGGGGCCCAUGGACACUGAAAUGACUUUCCCAGUAGCCUUUGCUGUGCUGGUGGAAUGCGGAUGUGAUUGGUGGAAUGCGGAUGUGAUGGAUGGAGCGAGGCCGGUUACCCAGCCCAUGAGGUGGAAGCCCUGGGUUCCAGUCAAGGGUGGUAGAGAACUGCCAGUCGCCAUACUAACUCUGGACUAACUAGGACUGAAGAGAGAGAGGAAAAAAACCUCUGUUUUGCUAAGUCACCCAGAGUCUGGCUUUUCUGUCAGUUGCAACCAUUCUAGUCCCAACUAGUCCAAACUUCUGCCCAUCUGGGCCCUGGGCUGUUCUCUGCUGUUCUGCUUGACUGGCUGCUCUCUGGCAGCAGAGCCACGUCUGGGUUCAUGGCCCCUCAGGGUACCGCACACAGCCAGCCCUCUCAAUGGUCUGUGAGAAAAACUUCUAAGAAAAUAGGCUCCUUGUUUAAGUAUUUGUGAAAACAAAAAUAAUGGUAUUUUGUGCUUUCUGGAUUUAACAGCCCAUCCCAGGAUUAAAAUCAAAUGGAAUUCUGGA
rnacentral:lncRNA from 1 species